rnacentral:rRNA from 1 species
AUGCACGCUGGCGGCGUGCCUAAUACAUGCAAGUCGAGCGAACAGACGAGGAGCUUGCUCCUUCGACGUUAGCGGCGGACGGGUGAGUAACACGUAGGUAACCUACCUAUAAGACUGGGAUAACUUCGGGAAACCGGAGCUAAUACCGGAUAAUAUUUCGAACCGCAUGGUUCGAUAGUGAAAGAUGGCUUUGCUAUCACUUAUAGAUGGACCUGCGCCGUAUUAGCUAGUUGGUAAGGUAACGGCUUACCAAGGCAACGAUACGUAGCCGACCUGAGAGGGUGAUCGGCCACACUGGAACUGAGACACGGUCCAGACUCCUACGGGAGGCAGCAGUAGGGAAUCUUCCGCAAUGGGCGAAAGCCUGACGGAGCAACGCCGCGUGAGUGAUGAAGGUCUUCGGAUCGUAAAACUCUGUUAUUAGGGAAGAACAAACGUGUAAGUAACUGUGCACGUCUUGACGGUACCUAAUCAGAAAGCCACGGCUAACUACGUG